GGAAGCUGGUGAGUAGAGUGGAAGGGCAAAGGGGAACAUCUAUCUCUGUUGGUGGAUGUAGAGGCCCCGAAAAUCAGAGCACCUGGAGAUAGUUGUCUGCCAGCCUCCCACUGCCACCUUCCUCUGCCUGGUACCUCCUUGUCCAACACCAGAGCAGCACCUCCUUUCAGGAGGCCUUAGAAGACAGAGCCAAGUGGCCGGGCGCAGUGGCUCACGCCUCUAAUCCCAGCACUUUGGGAGGCCAAGGCGGGCGGAUCAUGAGGACCUGCCCAUCAACUUUCCAGAAGAAAAAGAAAACAGGAAGCCAAGCAAGACGGACACUGAAGCCGCAGCCACAACAGCUGCAGGAGAAUCUCCCAAAGGGCCAUGAAACAACAGGACAUACGUAUGAGCGGGUGUUACAGCAGCAAGGGUCUCAAGAGAGGAGUCCAGGCCUCAUGUCGGAAGACAGCAACUUACAUUAUGCUGACAUUCAAGUGUGCAGCCGUCCCCAUGCCCGGGAAGUGAAACACGUCCAUUUAGAAAACGCUACAGAGUAUGCGACCCUUCGCUUCCCCCGGGCCACACCUCGCUAUGACAGCAAGAACGGGACCCUGGUGUGAACGUUGAGGAGGAAGGCCCAGUCCAUUGUUAACCACUAAUCUUGUGGGGGAGAACCUACUGCUUUGGGGAAUUGGGUGGCAACCCAGGGAUGUUGGCCACGUUUUAAGCUUAAAGAACUCCAAGGCCCCUGGAAUUGUGGGCGUCCCAUUUUCUCCCCUGGCCUCUGACUUGCCGCUGUUAGGUUGGAGUUAUAGUUGGUUUAGCUAUGGGUGGAUAGCUAAACUUAGCUAUCCACAUGAGGUUAGGUGGAGUGUGCAGGGAGGUAGGUCUUCGACCC
rnacentral:sRNA from 1 species